rnacentral:rRNA from 1 species
UACGUAGGGGGCAAGCGUUGUCCGGAAUCAUUGGGCGUAAAGCGCGUGUAGGCGGCUCGGUAAGUCCGCUCUGAAAGCCCGGGGCUCAACCCCGGGAGGCGGGUGGAUACUGCUGAGCUCGAGUCCGGAAGAGGAGUGUGGAAUUCCUGGUGUAGCGGUGAAAUGCGCAGAUAUCAGGAGGAACACCGAUGGCGAAGGCAGGUCUCUGGGCCGAUACUGACGCUGAGGAGCGAAAGCGUGGGGAGCGAACAGG